rnacentral:rRNA from 1 species
GACGAACGCUGGCGGCAGGCCUAACACAUGCAAGUCGAACGAGUGGGGACGGGUGAGUAACACGUGGGUAACCUCCCAUCAGAGGGGAUAACACUUGGAAACAGGUGCUAAACCGAUACUGAUGGAUGGACCCGGGGUGCAUUUGUUAGUUGGUGAGGUAACGGCUCACCAAGGCAACGAUGCAUAGCCGACCUGGGAGGGUGACCUGCCACACUGGGACUAGGACACGCCCCAUACUCCUACGGGAGGCAGCAGUAGGGAAUCUUCGGCAAUGGACGAAAGUCUGACGGAGCAUCGCCGCGUGAGUGAAGAAGGUUUUCGGAUCGUAAAACGCUGUUGUUAGAGAAGCGGUAUCUAACCAGAAAGCCACGGCUAACUACGUGCCAGCAGCCGCGGUAAUAC